AAGAGUGUAGUAUUAAUUGGUUAGUAUGGCGAUCUCCAAAAAUCACUGGUAGGUGUUCAAAUCACCUCACUCUUG
rnacentral:tRNA from 1 species